rnacentral:rRNA from 1 species
UACGUAGGGUGCGAGCGUUGUCCGGAAUUACUGGGCGUAAAGAGCGUGUAGGCGGCCACACAGGUCAGCUGUGAAAACUCGAGGCUCAACCUCGAGACGUCGGUUGAAACCGUAUGGCUAGAGUCCGGAAGAGGAGAGUGGAAUUCCCGGUGUAGCGGUGAAAUGCGCAGAUAUCGGGAAGAACACCCGUGGCGAAGGCGGCUCUCUGGGACGGUACUGACGCUGAGACGCGAAAGCGUGGGGAGCGAACAGG